CAGUGGGGAAUAUUGGACAAUGGGCGAAAGCCUGAUCCAGCCAUGCCGCGUGUGUGAAGAAGGUCUUCGGAUUGUAAAGCACUUUAAGUUGGGAGGAAGGGCAGUACCUAAUACGUGAUGUU
rnacentral:rRNA from 1 species